UACGUAGGGUGCGAGCGUUGUCCGGAAUCACUGGGCGUAAAGGGCGCGUAGGCGGCGCGGGCAGUCAACGGUGAAAGCUUGGGGCUCAACCCCGAGUCGGCCGUCGAUACUCCCGGGCUGGAGCACUGUAGAGGCAGGUGGAAUUCCGGGUGUAGCGGUGGAAUGCGUAGAGAUCCGGAAGAACACCGGUGGCGAAGGCGGCCUGCUGGGCAGUAGCUGACGCUGAUGCGCGACAGCGUGGGGAGCAAACAGG
rnacentral:rRNA from 1 species